GAAGGCUGUUGGGGGCUGAGCAGGAUGUUGACUGGCUAUCGUUCAUUGAGCACUCUCACGAUCAGCAUCACGCACGGAAUCCAUCCUUCCUGUGUUGCAGCUUGUAGACCCUGAUGCUUGGGCUGCCAGCCAUAAACGUGGGGAUCCAGACUCUGUCUACCGAGGCUGCCCAUAGGGACAGGCCCUGGGAAGAGGAGCUGAGACCAGGCUAAAAAGAGUGGACUCACCAGGCAUCCCAGUACCCUGAGGAGUUUAAGAAGACUUAAUGGAUGCUUGUGGAUGCUGAUGUGGCCUUGGACCUAGUGGGGGCUCAGAGAAUGCUGAACUCUCUCCUUCCUUCCUGAACCAUCGUCUGUAGGAACCCCUCUGAUAGGAAGUGCCCAAGAGGACAGUUGUAUGAGGUGACAGAGCAUGAUCCCGAGACCAGCCAACUCCCUGCUGGAAUUAAAUCUUGCAAGAGAAUU
rnacentral:lncRNA from 1 species